UCUUUGGUGGUCUAGCAGCUAGGAUCCCAUGCUCUCACCACUGCUGCCUGGGUUUGAUUCCCAGACAGCGAA